rnacentral:rRNA from 1 species
GUGUCAGCCGCCGCGGUAAGACAGAGGUGCCGAGCGUUAGGCGGAAUCACUGGGCUUAAAGCGUGUGUAGGCGGACUUCUAAGUACCUUGUGAAAUCCCACGGCUCAACCGUGGAACUGCUGGGUAUACUGGUUGUCUUGAGCCACUUAGGGGCAGUCGGAACAGAUGGUGGAGCGGUGAAAUGCGUAGAUAUCAUCUGGAACGCCAAAGGUGAAAACAGACUGCUGGGAGUGUGCUGACGCUGAGACACGAAAGCCAGGGGAGCGAACGGGAUUAGAUACCCCCGUAGUCC